GACGAACGCUGGCGGCGUGCUUAACACAUGCAAGUCGAACGGAAAGGCCCUGCUUUUGUGGGGUGCUCGAGUGGCGAACGGGUGUGUAACACGUGAGUAACCUGCCCUUGACUUUGGGAUAACUUUAGGAAACUGGGGCUAAUACCGGAUAGGAGCUCCUGCUCCAUGGUGGGGGUUGGAGAGUUUCGGCGGUUGGGGAUGGACUCGAGGCUUAUCAGCUUGUUGGUGGGGUAGGGGCUUACCAAGGCUUUGACGGGUAGCCGGCAUGAGAGGUGGACCGGCGACCUGGGGACUGAGAGACGGACCAGAAUCGUACGGGACGCAGAAGUGGGGAACAUUGCACAAUGGGGGGAAGCCUGAUACAGCAACGCCGCGUGCGGGAUGACGGCCUUCGGGUGAAAAACCGCUGUGGCCGGAGACGAAGCGGGAGUGACGGUAAUGGGUAAAGAAGCACCGGCUAACUACGUG
rnacentral:rRNA from 1 species